AUAGAGAGACUCUAGCAACCCAAUUUCUUGAGGAAUGGAACCAGAGAGUUUAGAGUUUGUUAUUCCAAAGAUAGAACUUAGAUAGACUUGUCAAGUUUCCAAUAGAAGAAGGGAUGGGACCAGAGAGUUGGUUCCUAGAAAGACCAAG